AUGCGAUAAGUAAUGUGAAUUGCAGAAUUCAGUGAAUCAUCGAAUCUUUGAACGCACAUUGCGCCCGCCAGUAUUCUGGCGGGCAUGCCUGUCCGAGCGUCAUUUCAACCCUCGGGAGCCCCUUUAGGGGGGCUGCCGGUGUUGGGGAUCGCCCGCCGCCACGGUGGACGUCCCCUAAAACGAUUGGCGGUCUCGCUGUAGCCUCCUCUGCGCAGUAGCACUUGUUCUCGCAGGCGGAGCGCGGCGCGGCCCAGCCGUAAAACCCCCAACUUUUUACCAGGUUGACCUCGGAUCAGGUAGGAAUACCCGCUGAACUUAA
rnacentral:misc_RNA from 1 species